CGACCCAUACUUGGUUUCAGU
rnacentral:miRNA from 1 species